GCGACGCUGCGCAUGCGCGGUUCGGCUGGCGGAGGAGGCCGGCCGCGGCGAGGGUCACGUUUGGCGUGGUUCCAGGGCUGUUGCUUUCCUGGAGGCGUCCGUGGCUCAGGCCCGCGCGGCUGGGUCAGUCCGGGCCCGUGGAGGCACGUGCCUGGGAGUUUCGCCUCUGCUUUCCACUCUGCCCCGCGCAGACUGCUUUUGUCAUUUCUGUCGCUCUCGAAGUGUUCAUGUAUCUAGUUCCCCAGGUCCCGGCCCGGAACCGGCUUGUUAAACUCAUUACUAUGCCUUCGACCUUUGGUCCUGAUAGCGGGAUAUCUAUCAGGGAUAGCGCAGAAAGUUUGACUCAACUAGGCGAAGCUGUUUCGGAACUGUUGUGAAGGAAUUGGGAGAAAUCGCCAUAAACAUUUUAAUUAAGCCAGAAGAUACUGCUCUGCUCAGCCCCGGAAAUAGAGAUUUUUCAGACGCUGAAAACUCCCAAGUGCUCCUCCCUGGCCGAGAAAGAACUUCCUGCCUGAGUUGCAAGGCGAGUUCAGAGUGAACUUUUUGCUUUUAUUCUUUAGGAAGUUAAAUAAAAUGUCGGAACUGUUCGAGCUCAGGACUGUAACCAAAUUCAUGUCGUAGAGCUUCCUGGUACCGCGCUUGGCGACUUAAUUUUUGUCAGUGCGGAAUGAAAGUGGUAGAGUUCACAGUGCUUUGGAACGACACUGUCCCCGGCCCCUCCCCCCCACCCCCCCGAAGUGACUGUUGAAUGUUUCUUGAGCCUCUUGGCUUUGCACGCAUCUGGUACUAAGUUCCUGCUUGGCUUUACACCCUCUUAGUGGUACUUAGUUACUAAGUCUACUCUCGGAAUGGUUUUUAACAAUGUCGUUACUGUGUGACUUGUAAUCUUGUAUGAUGUGCUGAUACAGACAUUUGGAGGAUGGAACAGAAGCAGCACUAUCAGAGAAUCUGAGAACUCUAGGUGAAAUGUAAUCUGUCUUUCUUGGAGCGCUAGGCAAUAUAUACAUGUUAUUUAGUAGGUAAAGACAAUUGGAAUGAUACAUUCUUGCACACCCCACUCCUACCACUCAGUACUCACUGCUCUUACUGGGCUUCCCAAGCCGGCCUCCACCCUCAGGCCUGUGCAUUUGCUGUUUUCUCCAUGCUCAAAGCUCACUUUUCCCCUCCACCCGAAUCUGCAUGGCACCUGACUUUAUUCAGGUCUCAAAAUAAUUGCCAUCACUUCAGAGGUGACUACCUCAUCUAAAACAGCCAGUACCCUUGCUGUCCAACCUCUUGUCUUGCUCUGUUUGGCUUUGUAGCCUUUUUUGGUGUCUGGUAUGUAUUUAUGUGAUCUGCCUCCCCCAUAAUCGCAACUCAGUAGAUACCUGUUAACUGUUAAAAGUGAAAUUGGAAUUUAACUUGACUCCAGAAACAUUUAGUGCUGAAGUCUAAAUGCAGUGUGGAUUGUUUGCUUGCUUGCUUGCUUGCUUGAUUCAUUCAACAUUUAUUGAGUGACUGUUUUGUAUCAAGUCGUGUCUAGGUGUUUAGAGUAUCUCAGUGAACAAAAUAGACACAGAAUUCAUCCCUUUGGAGCUUACAUCCUAGCAAAGAAUGGUUAACAAUAAUCUCAUCUAAUUAUUUGUUGUGUUAGAAAACUAAGUGCUAUGAAAUAAAUGACAAAAGAGCAGAGAAAGGGGACCAGAGUACAGGGAUGGGUUGCAAUUUUAAACAGCAUGAUUAUGAUGGGUCUGAAGGAUAAACUGAAGGUGAUGUUCAUGAUGGAGAACUGGUUUUUAGAAUUAAAUGAUCUUUCUAGGAGAAAUUUUUGUUUGUUUUUGUUUUUUGGGUUUGUUUGUUUUGCCAUUCUCUGCUAUGUCUUUCAUGGGGCCCCGCACUAUGACCGUGGUGACAAAUGUAACUGUCUUUUAUUAUACAUAGCUGAAAAAAAUUUUUUCUUCAAGUAGAGUUCACAUUAUUCAGAAUGUUACAGUUUAAUACAGCACAUCAAAUGAAGAGACUGGGCUCUUGAAUGGAAAAGACUAGCCAAACCAAUAUUAGAGUCACAUUAACCUAACCUUAGAAGACAACUUCUCAAGGAUCUAGAUGGAACAGGAUUAAAGAUGACUGAAUACUGGGUUCCAGAAAUUUAAAACAAUCAGGGACUGCACAGGACUGAGUCCAUAUGGAAGAAGAACUUCCCCUUUUCUAUGGAGAAAGUGGCAAGCCAGUACGGGCUACUCUGUCGUCUUUGAAGAUGUUAGAUGUGGGCAAGUGGCCAAUUUUCUCCCUUUGUUCUGAAGAAGAACUGCAGUUAGUUCGUCAAGCCUGCGUCUUCGGCAGCGCCGGCAACGAAGUUUUAUACACUACAGUGAAUGAUGAGGUUUUUGUGCUUGGCACAAACUGCUGUGGCUGUUUGGGAUUAGGUGAUGUCCAGAGCACCAUCGAACCUCGGAGACUGGACUCGUUAAGUGGCAAAAAAAUCGCCUGCCUCAGCUACGGGAGUGGCCCGCAUGUUGUCCUUGCAACAACAGAAGGAGAAGUCUUUACCUGGGGUCAUAAUGCGUACAGCCAGCUGGGCAACGGGACAACUAAUCAUGGUUUAGUGCCCUGUCAUAUAUCUACUAAUUUGUCAAACAAGCAAGUUACUGAAGUUGCCUGUGGGUCUUACCAUUCUUUGGUGCUAACAUCUGAUGGAGAGGUGUUUGCCUGGGGUUAUAAUAACUCCGGGCAGAUAGGGUCUGGAUCAACAGCUAAUCAGCCGAUCCCUCGAAGAGUCACUGGCUGCUUACAGAAUAAAGUGGUCGUGAACAUCGCCUGUGGGCAGAUGUGCUCCAUGGCAGUGGUGGACACUGGGGAGGUCUUCGUCUGGGGUUAUAAUGGGAAUGGGCAGCUGGGACUUGGCAGCGGCGGCAACCAGCCAACCCCCUGCAGAAUAGCAGCUUUGCAAGGCAUUCGUGUCCAGCGGGUUGCCUGUGGCUACGCACACACAUUAGUAUUAACAGAUGAAGGUCAAGUGUAUGCUUGGGGUGCAAAUUCUUACGGCCAGUUGGGCACUGGCAACAAAAGUAACCAGUCCUACCCUACUCCUGUCGUUGUGGAAAAGGACAGCAGCCGCUGCGGUCAGCCACGCCCGUGCCCCACCCCUGCCUUUCCGUGUGGUGCUAGGUGCUCCAGAAUUAUAGAGGUUGCGGCCUGCCACUCUGCCCACACGUCUGCCGCCAAGACGCAGGGAGGGCACGUGUACAUGUGGGGCCAGUGCCGGGGCCAGUCGGUGACCCUGCCCCACCUCAUCCACUUCUCCUGCACCGACGACGUGUUUGCCUGCUUCGCCACGCCCGCCGUCACGUGGCGCCUCCUGUCCGUGGAACCCGACGACCACCUCACAGUGGCUGAGUCCCUGAAGAGGGAAUUUGACAACCCCAGCACCGCAGACCUGAAGUUUCUGGUGGAUGGAAAGUACAUUUAUGCACAUAAAGUCCUUCUCAAAAUUAGGUGUGAGCAUUUUCGUUCUUCGUUGGACGACAGCGAGGAUGAGAUUGUAGAAAUGAGUGAAUUUUCGUAUCCUGUUUACCGGGCCUUCCUGGAGUACCUGUACACGGACAGCAUCAGCCUGUCUCCCGAGGAGGCAGUAGGAUUGCUCGAUCUGGCUACAUUUUAUAGAGAAAAUCGUUUGAAAAAACUCUGCCAACAAACUAUCAAGCAAGGAAUCUGUGAGGAGAAUGCCAUUGCGCUGCUCUCGGCCGCCGUGAAGUAUGACGCCCAGGAUUUAGAAGAAUUCUGCUUCAGGUUUUGCAUAAACCAUUUGACUGUAGUGACACAGACUUCAGGCUUUGCAGAAAUGGACCACGAUCUCCUGAAGAACUUUAUCAGCAAAGCAAGCAGAGUUGGAGCCUUUAAAAACUGAUCCUCACCUGCAGGAAAGAGUUUUUAGCAUUUCCAUUUUCCCUGCCAGAGAAUAACUUCUCUUUAAUAGUAUUCAAGAAGAGCUGCUUUUGGCUGGAUACUUACAUUCUGUCGAAAGAAGGAUGGUGGGUCAGUCUCCCCCACCUUUUGAAACCCAGAGUCUACAUGGAAGGCACUAUAAUGCUCUGAUCAGAUGUGACUGAGCUCAAUUUAAAUGUCUUAUUACAUUUACCAUUGUGUCUUGUGGGUCACUUAAACAGGAGACUAUUGGUACAUGGGUCUUUAGUAUAUGCUAUUCUGGCCGAAUUUCCAUAUUCAACAGGCUGAUCUCACACAGACAGCUUGACAAGGAAUGCUGUCACCACCACAUUUUCAGCAUCCCACACAGUGCCUUGCAUAUAGUAGGCACUCAGUUUAUUAUAAAUCUUAAUUAUACCCUGAGAGCAGCUUUUUUCGUGGGAUACUGGGUGAAGGAAUAACUUGCACAGAAAUAGAUCUAAAGCAGCCUGUAGCUACUGAGGUUCAUAUUCUUCUGGUACAUUGUUCUGAGAAAUAGUGGCUAAUUUCGAGCAUUACUUAGAAUUCACAAAAGGCCUUGGCAAUUAAAUUGUCAAAGACCCAAGGGCUAAUUUUAAUCCUCUGUUUACUCCAAGUCAUUAAUUUCUCAUAUGGGAUUAUCGAAUAUGGAGUAAUAUCUUUGAAUGAAUGUUAUUUCUGGGCUCAUCUGCCUUACAUAACUGCAUCAUGUCCUUUACUUCUGUGUUAAGAAAGAUUCGCCUCUCUAAGUAUAAAUGAUUUUGUGUUUUUCUUGUAGUUGACUUUUAUGUCACCAUAAAAUAGGUCUCUUCACUUAGCACAGUAUAAUUAUAAAGUACUGGCCGAAAAGGAGUGAAUACUUGCAUUUCAUGGAUAGCACUAAAUAAGAAUGAGCUAAAUUUAUACUUUAGAUCAACACAGGUUAGCCAACUGCAAAUGAGAAGCUGGAAUGGGACGUAGGAUGUAGCAUCAGUGUCUCCUAAUGGGUAUUGCACAAUGUGGUCUCAUGUAAAGAACACGCUUGGAAUUAGAAACCUUGUUCUGAUGCUGAACUAUUUGAUAAUAAAGUGCUUCUCUGCAGAUAAUAGAACAAACGUGUGGAUUUUAAAAAAAUUCUUCAGAAGCAGCAAGAUUAUAUUAACCUUAUGUCUGUUAGACAUACAUAAAUCUGUAUAAUAGAGGCUAUUUUUUAAAGCAGUUACUCAGGUAAGGUAUCAUAGCAAAGCCCACUCCAAAACAUACAUGGCUUAUAAACAACGUAAUUGCUCUUCAUACUACUGCCUGUGACCACUCUUACUGCUGAGGUUUGGAAUCCUGUUUCUUUUUGUUUCUCUGUUUUUUGCUGACCUUGCCUGCUAGAGGCAAAGUAGGCUGGAUGUCUCUAGUUCUAAAUCACAGUCCUAUUUUUGGAACGAUAGAGUAUUUGUUAUUUUAAAACUCAGCCCUGCACUGCUGGUUUUCACGUUUGGGUGGAUUUGCUAUUCCAUCCAGCAAAGGGACAUUGAGACAUGCGUAUGAGCAGUAGCCCCUGUGCGUGCUGUCCCCGACCAAAGCCGCUGCCUCUUACAGUGUCCUCCCAAACCUUCCCUUCCUCUUUCUUGUCCUUUUCUGACAGGGUUGUCUGAAGUUCCUCAGUGCCUUUUUCUUUCAUGAGCUCAUUUCGUGUAAAAACUGGAACACUCAAAGGGAACAGGUAAGUGUAUUUAGGGAUGAGAAAUGGAUUACCUGCCAAGCGCCACGGCAGGUCAGCACCCACACUGCCAGGGUACACGUUAUUAAGAAGUGUGGAUGGAGUUUCAUCCACAUUGCCUCUAAGUUGUGUUAUGUGUCAAUUUGCACAGCUGUCUCUCAGUGUUGCUCAUUUCUGGGCACAAAAGAAUAAUCCCUGAAACUUUUCCAAAAUAUAGAUUCAAGGAUUCUAAUUCAGUAUGUCUUAAGAACCUUCACAAGUAAUUGUGAUGUUUUGCCAAGAAUGAGAGUCACUGGUUUAGCCUUAAAACCUGGGACACCAAACAAGAAGAAGAGCUAAUUUUAGACCAGUAGAUGACUGAGGAGUCCCGUGGUGACGUCUCUCUGACAAAAACAUGCUUUCUCUCUUGUCUUUGCUGAUAGGCUGGCCAUCCGUGCGCCUGUGUGGAGGACAACAGCACUGUUUCCUUCAUUUCUAACAGGUGAGUGUCUGCAGCGCUCAGAACCCUGCUGUUCAGUUAGGGACAUGUGAGGGAGGAGGUCCAUUUUCAUGGUGAUACUGCACCAGAAAUGAAUGGAGUCUUUCUUUUACCUAAGUUCAUCUGACAUUUUCCAUCCUCGAGUUUUGUUUCCUCUCUGCUCAAACAAGAAGUUCAGUGUUUUAGUGCUUCCUACAUAACUGUACCCUAAUUUACACAGAGAGAGGUUCAGAUUUUACGGGAGUAAAGCAGCGUCCUCAUCUGCUGAGAGGGGGUUUGUGAAGAUACUGUCUAAUGCUUCUUAAAAAGUGAAGGUUAAUGUUCUUCAUCUGAGACCUGAAGAAACUGCCAGUCAUUCUAGACCAUAACCUGGUGAGUUUUAUUUAGAGUCCGAAUUCUUGACCCGUGACAAUGAAAAGGAAGCAACUGCAGACUGCGUGGUCUUGGUCACCUUACUGAUCCUCUCCGUGCUAUUAGCACAAUAAAUGGGUUGGGAGGGUUGUAAACAGAAAGGAGAGAUCAUACCAUACUGCUGUUUUUCUUUGCCAACACAUAAAGACAUAAACCAUACUGAUUUUCUCUCACUAAAUUCAGUUAAAAUCAAAACAUUUCCUGUUCAGAAAGUAACUGAUGUUGGUCUGUGGAAUAAAUUAAAUUUUUACGUUAAAUUGUCAGCAUAUGUCAAUACUAAAGAUAAGUAUAGUCCCAAAAUAAUGGACACAAAAAAGGCUAAGAAUAGAUAACUAUUCCAGCUUCAUAUUAAAAGAGUUGUUUUAAUUCCAUUCCGAUAUUAUACAGUGUUACCACAUUUCUAUUUAAGAAGCCUUACUUGUGGUAGAAAUUUGCUAUUUCUAGAGACAAGGUUUCAGGUUGUCCUGUAAAACAAAGGAAAAUUCUACUGAAUAAAUCCUUACCAAUGCUGUGCACACUGUCUGGUCCAAAAAUGAGGAAGAAAAAUAUGCUCAUACAGGUAAGUUUCUAUGAAAUCAUCCGGAUGUACUAGAAUUAAUAUGUGGGUUUUUUCCCCCUGCCAUUUGUACCAGAAAACUGUAAUGAAAAGUAAAUACAUGAAUUUGAACUUGUCCCUUUUAUUAUAGAGUGUUAAUUACUGGGCUACAUUAAUCUCUGGACGUGAUCAGUUUUCUGUGAGCCAGACUGAAAAGUUUUAAUGUCACCAAGGCUGCUUGAUUUUGCCCUGACCUGAGAGGUAAGAGAGAGACUGCAUUUCACGUGAGAUCCCAUCCAACAUAAGGAGUGGAACAGUAAAGAGGAAAGAGUGGGAACCUGGACAAGAGUUAAAAGAUGAUGCAGGUUUUUGACUUGAGCAACUGAGAAAUAAUUCUGAGCAGGAAGUAGGACACGACCCUUACUAUGGAUGUUUUUACCACAUUCAAUACAUUAACUCGUACACCAGGAAAAGAGAAUCAUCAUCAUGAUGAUUUGUUGAAUGGAUAAACGUAACAGAUAUUCCACUUACAUGUCUGCUGCAGUGUGAUUGUUCUGCAGAGGAAGGUUGAGAGAACAAGGAGACUCAAGGUGAUCAGCUGGUCCCUCUCGGUCCUUUGCUUGUUUAAUAAGGUCAAAUAAAGGUGAAUCCUAUGUGCAACAAGAUGGCAUAAAACAAUAUUGAGAAAGCACAUCUCACAAUACAGCUGGAGGAAAAGGCCUCGAUUCAGCAAGAGCUAACACGCUUAGGAAUUUAUUUCGGAACCUUUGAAGGAUUCUUCUGCUUACCCACCAUCUGGGAUCCACUGAAGAAAUAAGGAAAAGGAAAACUUCAUUAAGGAGGAGCAAGAAGUAAACGAGACCAAACUGGGAAUGUUUAAGUCUCUGAAACUCUGCACUGAAAAGCGAAAUAAGAUAGCUAACUUGAGCUUAAACAUUCCGAAGCAUAAACUUAAUUUUGGAAUAUUCAUCUAACCACUGAAACAGGAGUUUACCAGGCAAGUACUUUUAUUUAGAACACAGCUUUUAUUUGAAAGUUAUAAUCUAAUGGGUUGGCUUCAUUGACUGCGUUUUUAAAGACUGCUCGUCAGUAAACUAAGCCCGGCGGCAUUCAUGGGUUUUCUGGAGACUAGGUAAUGAAAAUAUUUUCUUGUUGAAACACCAAGUGAAAAUUUUACAGCAACAAAUUUCAUGUUUCUUCUGGAGAAAAAGGAAGUAUUUAUAAAACCACGCAAAGAUCCAAAGGCUUUACAAAUACAUUGGAGGUUAUAAAGUGGUCACAAUCUGAAUACCAAAGGAGACUGCAGCCGACCAGACGACUUCAACACUGUAAACUGGACCUGCCUUUAUAAUGGUAAGCAAUAACAGCUCCCACUGCACCUAUGACGACUCCUUUAAGUACACUCUGUAUGGGUGCAUGUUCAGUAUGGUGUUUGUACUGGGGUUAAUAUCCAACUGUGUUGCCAUAUACAUUUUCAUGUGUACUCUCAAAGUGCGAAAUGAAACAACAACGUACAUGAUUAACUUGGCAAUAUCAGACUUGCUGUUCGUUUUUACUUUACCCUUCAGGAUUUUUUAUUUUGCCACACGGAAUUGGCCAUUUGGAGAUUCACUCUGCAAAAUUUCAGUGAUGCUGUUUUAUACUAACAUGUAUGGAAGCAUUCUGUUCCUAACCUGUAUUAGUGCCGAUCGAUUUCUGGCCAUCGUCUACCCAUUUAAGUCAAAGACUCUAAGAACAAAACGAAAUGCAAAAAUCGUUUGCAUUGCUGUAUGGUUAACUGUGAUGGGAGGAAGCGCACCUGCAGUUUUUUUGCCGUCUACCCACUCGCAGGGUAACAAUACCUCAAAAGCCUGCUUUGAGAAUUUUCCAGAAGCCACAUGGAAAACAUUUCUCUCAAGAAUUGUAAUUUUCAUUGAAAUAGUGGGAUUUUUUAUUCCUCUAAUUUUAAAUGUAACUUGUUCUAGUAUGGUGCUAAGAACUUUAAAUAAGCCUGUUACAUUAAGUAGAAGCAAAAUAAACAAAACUAAGGUUUUAAAAAUGAUUUUUGUACAUCUGGUCAUAUUCUGUUUCUGUUUCGUGCCCUACAAUAUCAACCUGAUUUUAUAUUCUCUCAUGAGAACACAGACAUUUGUUAACUGCUCAGCAGUAACAGCAGUGAGGACCAUGUACCCAAUCACUCUCUGCAUUGCUGUUUUAAACUGUUGCUUUGACCCUAUAGUUUAUUACUUCACAUCGGACACGAUUCAGAAUUCAAUAAAAAUGAAAAACUGGUCUGCCAGGAGAAGUGACUCCAGAUUCUCUGAAGUUCAAGGCACAGAGAGCUUUAUUGAACAUAACCUACAGACCUUAAAACGUAAGAUAUUUGACAAUGAAUCUACAAUAUAAGCUGCCUGAAAUAAAACAAUUGGGACUUCACUGGGACAGAACUUCUAAGUUCCUUCAACUGUGAAAAGUGUUUUCUUGGACAACUAUUUCUCCACCUCUGAAAAAAAAAAAAACAUGUGGAUAUUAAGUUUUUAGUAUUAAAAAAUGUAUUCAAUGUGUUAAGCAUUAAAAUGUAUUUUAUUCUUGUGUACACUCCAUUUUACUUUUCUGAGCCACUUGGAUUUGUACCUUCCUCUUCAUUAAAA